rnacentral:lncRNA from 10 species
UUUUGCAAUUUCCUAUAAAUGGUUAAGAAAAGAGCAAGCUGUCCAGAGAGUGAGAAGUUUGAAAAGAGAGGUGCAUAAGAGAGAAAUGAUGUCCAUUUGAGCCCCACCACGGAGGUUAUGUGGUCCCAAAAGGAAUGAUGGCCAAGCAAUUAAUUUUUCCUCCUAGUUCUUAGCUUGCUUCUGCAUUGAUUGGCUUUACACAACUGGCAUUUAGUCUGCAUUACACAAAUAGACACUAAUUUAUUUGGAACAAGCAGCAAAAUGAGAACUUUAUUUGGUGCAGUCAGGGCUCCAUUUAGUUCCCUCACUCUGCUUCUAAUCACCCCUUCUCCCAGCCCUCUUCUAUUUGAUAGAGGUCUGUCCCUCAGAUCAGCAAUGUCUUAGCCCCUCUCCUCUCUUCCAUUCCUUCCUGUUGGUACUCAUUUCUUCUAACUUUUAAUAAACAUUUAGGUAUAAUACAUUACAGUAAGUGCUAUUUAGAUACAAACUUAAAACAUACUAUAUAUUUUAAGGAUCUAAGAAUCCUUUAGAGAAGGCACAUGACUGAAGUACCUCAGCUGCGCAGCCUGUAGCCAGUUUUUUUAAUGUAAAAGUAAGAAUGCCAGCCUUAACCUAGCCCUGCAGAUAAAAGCUAACUUUUAUUAAUACCAGCCCUGAAUAAUGGCACUAAUCCACACUCUUCCUUAGAGUGAUGCUGGAAAAAUAAAAUCAGGGGCUUCAGAUUAAAAAAAAAAACAAAAAACAAAAAACAAAAACAAACAUUGCCUGGCCCUGAGGGUCUGUUUGCAAAACUUCUUGUAGAUCUAAUUUCUGAACACUCACUGCUUCAUUUCUAUUCCUCCUGUUGCAGGGAGUAAUUUCUUCUCCUUUGUCUCACUUCCCUUAUCAAGAACACCAACCAGUAAGUCUUUGCCAA